UACGUAGGGUGCAAGCGUUGUCCGGAAUUAUUGGGCGUAAAGAGCUCGUAGGCGGUCUGUCGCGUCGGAUGUGAAAGCCCGGGGCUUAACCCCGGGUCUGCAUUCGAUACGGGCAGGCGUAGAGUUCGGUAGGGGAGACGUGGAAUUCCUGGUGUAGCGGUGAAAUGCGCAGAUAUCAGGAGGAACACCGGUGGCGAAGGCGGGUCUCUGGGCCGUAACUGACGCUGAGGAGCGAAAGCGUGGGGAGCAAACAGG
rnacentral:rRNA from 1 species